CUCGACAACGGAUAUCUUGGCUCUCGCAUCGAUGAAGAACGUAGUGAAAUGCGAUACUUGGUGUGAAUUGCAGAAUCCCGUGAACCAUCGAGUCUUUGAACGCAAGUUGCGCCCGAAGCCUUCUGGCCGAGGGCACGUCUGCCUGGGCGUCACA
rnacentral:rRNA from 1 species